rnacentral:rRNA from 1 species
AACGAACGCUGGCGGCAUGCCUAACACAUGCAAGUCGAACGAGACCUUCGGGUCUAGUGGCGCACGGGUGCGUAACGCGUGGGAAUCUGCCCUUGGGUUCGGAAUAACAGUUGGAAACGACUGCUAAUACCGGAUGAUGACGUAAGUCCAAAGAUUUAUCGCCCAAGGAUGAGCCCGCGUAGGAUUAGCUAGUUGGUGAGGUAAAGGCUCACCAAGGCGACGAUCCUUAGCUGGUCUGAGAGGAUGAUCAGCCACACUGGAACUGAGACACGGCCCAGACUCCUACGGGAGGCAGCAGUGGGGAAUAUUGGACAAUGGGCGAAAGCCUGAUCCAGCAAUGCCGCGUGAGUGAUGAAGGCCUUAGGGUUGUAAAGCUCUUUUACCCGGGAUGAUAAUGACAGUACCGGGAGAAUAAGCUCCGGCUAACUCCGUG